UUUUUAUCAUAUUUGCAUUUGUUAAUGAGAUUCUAGUUGUCUUCUUUUUACUGGCACCAAGAAAGUUCUAAUUACACUCGAUCUUGUUAAGUGGUUAAAGGACAGGCAAGCCAUCCAUCCACAAUAGAAAUUUGUACUGUUUGUUUAAAUACUGAUCAAGUAAAUUCUAAGUUCUAAAUAACCAAAACGACAAUGGACUCUCAACACAACGAAAGCAGCAUAAUAUAUAUGUAACAACUAUAAAUAAAAUAAAGUGAAAUGUUAAAAUAAAUUCAAUUUUAAGGUGCCAGACUUUUUGAAGUAGUUAAAAUAAGCAUAAUAGCAGUUCACAAUAUUGAAGACUUUAAUACUACUUCGCCUAGGUGCCUUUUGAAAAGUCAUAUUGAUAGUUUACUUGUUGAGAAAUAUUGUUCUAAACAAAUAAAAUAUUGUUCUUAAAAAAUAAAAUCAGCAUCAUAGAUUAAAAACUUGAUAGUCCUACUACUUCAUCAAGUUCUUACACGAACACCAUCAAACUUUACAUUGUUGAUCCAUCACUAGUAGUCAACAAAACCCAAUAUCUUUGAAGAGAUUCUCUUUUAAAAUACCUAACCAAAAUUUUGCCUGACAUUAGAAAAAUGCAAGAAUUAGUCAGAAAAUUAUAAUUACAGUAAGCAUUAAACAAGAACAAUCAACUAUACAACAAAUUUACCAGGAGAAUACCAAGAAUUGGCUAGAGAUUGCUAUAAUCAAUCGCAAUAAUAUAAAAUAGCAAUUUCUAAUGACUAUUUAAACUGAAAGAAACUAUGGUAAAGAGAAUUAGAGAAAAACAUAGCAACACAGAAAGAGCAACAUAAUGCAGAAUUUAACGACAUCCAACUUUGAUGUCUCAGUUGCAAACUAAAAAUUUGACUGUCAAAAUUUUCGUACAACUUUUUAUUUUUGCCUAAUGAAUACAAAUAAUCUAGUAAGAGCUUCAGGGGAAAUAAUUUAGCAUGGAAUCAAUCAAUAACACUAUAAGAGUGGAAAACAUAUAACCUAUGAUACAAAUCACUAUGGCAGCGGCUAAAGCUUUCAUGGACUAGUGACUAAACUCUGAACUAAAGAUCAAAUUUGUUGGCAAAAGCAUCCACACAAGUGCCUCAUAGCUCCCAAGUAAAAUUUCAGCCAUUUUAAUUUUAGAGUGGACAAAUGUUCUACUUUUUAAUUACUACCAUAGUGAUAAAUAACGUUUUGGUCACUGUACUAGGGUCCGGUUUUCAUUGUGGUUACCGAAACUUUUUUUUGUUACAAUCGAAUAACUGUACUAUCAAAAAAUUACAAAAUGGUCAUUCCGUUCGAUUUCCGUCCAAAAAUUUGACGGAAAUGCUGACUGUGCAUAUUGACUCGUUAUUUUUGCUGACGUGACCCGUUAUUUGCUGACGUGGAGGGUAGAAGGUUUGCCUUAAAAAUUUUCUUAAAGAAAAUGUUGCUAACAAGUGUUGAACACUAGACCUCCCCAAACUAGAACCUUAUAUUCUAACAAAAACCACUUGACCAACUACCUAUUAUGCUAAAAUUUAUGUAACAUUAAUAUUUAAACCACCUAGCAUCAUUUAUAUGCAUGUGAAGAUGAGAUAAUAAUAAUUGUAAUAAUAAUAAUAAUUGUAAUAAUUAUCUAGUUCACAAAAUCAUCCUAUUGAUAUCUAUUGAAAAAAAUAUAACAAAUCAUUAAAAUUCAUAAUUACCCUUUUUGAGCUUCCAAAAUCCUCUAUUGAAAACCUCAAGUUUCCUUGAACUUCUUCCAAUCCCUUCUCUCAGUUUUUCAACUCUCCAAUUAAUAUAGAUGUAUAAAAGAGAAGGCAGCAGCUGGUGGAAUUUUGUGCUAGCACAUUUCACAAAUGUCACAUGCUACCUUAUAUACUUGGGGUUUUUUUUCAUGACUAACGUCACUAAACUAGUAAUUGUAGCCAAUUGAAAAAAAAACCAAAAAAAUUUAAUUACGUACAAGUCCUCGCACUUUCAAAUUACAUAUUUACCCUUGUACGUGUAACUCAUGCGAUUGAUAUUGUCGGAGUAAAAAUUAUAUUGGCAGAGAAAUAAUAAGUGUCGUUAAGAAAUUCAAAAAAUAUAGUUAAAUGUAUAUUUGCUCUAACAUCAUCAUUUUUGUUUUGACAAUAUCAAUCGCUCUUAUUAAUUAGUAAACCACGGAUUAAUUUCGUAGAUUACAAUUUCAAUAGCUAGCUUAGCUAUAUAUUGUUGCGAGUCACACAUAACAAUUGCAAAACUUCUGUGUAUUCGGUAUUCCACACCCCCAUUGUCCAAUAUUCCGAUCUAGCGUAGGACACAAGAGCUAUUAAACCUGUAACGUACGUAAUCAUAUGCAUGUUUUUCAACUUUGAGAUACAGCCAACGGUCUAAUUAAUAGUUAAUAAUAGCUAGAGAUAAGAAAUCAUUAAUUGUUGAAAUUAACAAUUAAUAAGUUUACACAUAUUUAUGUACCAAAAACCUUCCUUUUAUAUACUGACAUACAUAUAUAUAUAAAAUUAUUACAAUAAUUAUUAUUAUUUAAAAUUUUAAUCAUUAUUUAAAAUUUUAAUUAUUUAAAAUUUAGUAUUAUUAUUACAAUAAUAAUUAUUACAAUUAUUAUUAUUAUUACAGUUAUUAUUAUCUCAUCUUCACAUGCAUAUAAACGAUGCUAGGUGGUUUAAAUAUUAGUGUUACAUAAAUUUUAGCAUAAUAGGUAGUUGGUCCAGUGGUUUUUGUUAGAAUAUAAGGUUCUAGUUUGGAGAGGUCUAGAGUUCAAUACUUUUUAGCAUCAUUUUCUUUAAGAAAUUUUUUAAGGCAAGCCUUCUACCCUCCACGUCAGCAAAUAACGGGCCACGUCAGCAAAAAUAACGGGUCAAUAUGCACAGUCAGCAUUUCCGUCAAAUUUUUGGACGGAAAUCUAACGGAAUGACUAUUUUGUAAUUUUUUGAGAGUACAGUUAUUCGAUUGUAACAAAAAAAGUUUCGGUAACCACAAUGAAAACCGGACCAUAGUACAGUGACCAAAACGUUAUUUAUCCCUAGUACAAUAAGAAUGCAUUUAAUUUAAAAGCAUUUCACAAAAAAAUAAUUUUUUAAAACACUUUGAGUGAGAACUUGAUAACACUAACUUUUAUUAACAUAAAAAAACGCAUAACAAACUAACCCUUCUUUAAAGCUCAUCAUCCAUCCUCAAAUACUCCCCAAUAUCAGCGCGGUGAAUGUACAACAAUCUCAUUUGGGGUUCAUUAUCCUAUAGUCCCAUUUGGGUCCAUUUUCCUACAAUCCCAUUUGGGUCCAUUAGAAAAAUAUUUCUCAAUAAAAUUUGUGCCAAUGGGUUUAAAAAAACAUAUUUUGUGCCAAUGGGUAAAAAAAAACUGUGAAUUCCCAAAUUUAUACACACAAAAAAAAGGCAGAGACAAGAUCGAAAUUCACCUCCAAAAAAUGCAUAUUCAUUCAUUUGCUUCAUCAUCUUCAUCAACAAAUUAUACUAAUAAAGGAAUAAUAUUCACAUGCAUAUUCCUAACAAACUUGUUAUCAAGAAAACAAUCUGCAGAAACCAUGCAUCUUAAUCCUCUAUCUAUAACAAAUGAAAAGCUUUGAUUUUGUUAUUUUUAGAGUCUAAUAUAUAAAUCAAAGCAUUCACGUUCAAAAUUCCCAACUAAACAUGUACUUUUUCAUAUUUAACAACCCACUUUAAUUUACUAUACUUAUUAAAUUUAUUCAUAACAUUAUACAGUAAUUAUAGUUAAUAUAUUAAGUAAUAGGUAUUUUAUUAAUUUAUUCCUAUAUUACAUGAGCUAACUAUCAAAAUGACCAAAACAAAUCCAAAACAUUCAACAAACCACGCCUGGGUAGCCGCUGCAGUGCACUGUAGCAGGCAGCGCAUGGCUGCUACUGCAGCUGCCUGCAGCAGCUGUGCAGUUUUGCUGCAGCUUCAUGCUCAAAUCGCCUAUUUUACCAUUUUCUAGAUUACAAACCGUAAAUCUGAUCAAGGCAACUUUUAGGAUGUUGUAAAGAGUAUAUCAAACUAUUUUUAGAAAAUACUAACCAACUAAAUUAAACCUCCUAGACCAGUUUUUUUCAUGGCUUCAAACUGGCCUGCUGGGUACUUUUUUUUAUCCGAGUUACACAUACAAGUUUCUUGAAAACAGACUUUAAACUCAAAUUAUCUUUCUCAAGUUACUUAAAUUACUUCAUUAAACAAGUAUAAAGAGUUUCUAUAGAACCAACUUUGCUAAAUCCUUGCAAAUCUACCCGACAGUUUCUUAGGAGCCUUAAAUCAAACACCUCAUACGCAUUACAUUUAGGAACAUAGUUUAUAUCUAUUUAUAUACAAGUUUAGCCCAAAAUUUCCUCCCGUAUUGCUCUGCACAACAACUAUUCUCCUUUUCACUAAAUCUCAAUUACCACAGCAAUAACAUACUCAGUUUUUCAUAAAAAAGUAAAACUUUGCUUCAAAAAUUAAGAUUUAGAACUUACCUCGCUAUAGUGUUCAAUGGACUGAAUACAAUAUUUAUAGUUUAGUUAUUUCCCCCCUCUUUGCUGCCUCUGCUUUUCGAAGUCAAUUCCAGCCCAGCUCACACCUUAAUUUUCUUGCCCAAUUCCCUAAUGUAGCCGAACAAGCCAAGCCUUGAUGACCCUUUCUGGGGAGUUUUUGAAAAAGGAAUGCAAUGGAACGGUUGAAGUACUAAGGAUAGGAGGAACUUAAUAAUGACCAUGUUACAUUCUAAUUUUAUUUCAAAUGGUUGAUUAUAAUAGCCUGCUGAGUGCUGACUCCUUAAUCUUUUGACAGCUCAAGCUUAUCCACUAAUUCAGCC
rnacentral:lncRNA from 1 species